AGGCCGGAGGUGGGGCCCGAGUUCCUGUCUCCAGCCCACGAUUUGCCGAUCCAUCUGUCUUCCUCAGAGAGAGAGGGCGGAUAAUGCAGACUGCGCUUCCUUGGAAGACGGCAGGCUCCAGGCCAGACAAACGAAUGUAUCAACCAUACAGAUGAAGAGCUGAGGCUCAGGGAAGGAAUUUGCCAAGGUCACGAAGCUGUAAGACACAGAACCUGGGGUGUCUGCCUGUAGAGCUCACACUGACUCUACAGCCACUGAUCCAAAGCUUCAAUGAGCAAGAGAUGAAGUGACCCCUCCAACCCCACAGCUCAGCGUCUUUCUUGAAGCUCCAACUCCAGGGCCAUUGUUUUCCUGUUCUCCCCGCUCCAAGGCCUCUCCUCUCUCCUUGGCCCAACUCUCUGACAGUGAUGCAGGUUUGUUCACUUCACAGCCUCUAUGUGGAUGACUUCAGGAUCCCAGCACCAACCUGUUUCCCGAGGGCCAGGAUUAUUCGCCUGUCUGCCAGCUAUUGUCACCCGGCAUCUCAAAUGCAACAUUUCUAAAUCAGA
ensembl:lncRNA novel transcript